rnacentral:misc_RNA from 1 species
CUUUUUGUGCAUAAUGUAUAUAUAGGGGGGGUAUAGGGUGUCUCCAGAGACACUGAUCGGGCAAUGAGACACCAGACGCUAGACGCUAAACGAAGGCACCGAUCAGAAGAUGCUAAAUGAGCCGGUAUACAAUGGGACGCGAGUCGGAUCUCGAGUCGGUAUGCGAGAUCCAUGUGGGUAUAUGAGUGACGAUGUGGGUAUAUCGAUGAUCGAUGCAUGUGUGGUCGGCCCAGUCCCUUCGAUGUGCCUUGAACGGCCUAUGGAUCCAUGUNUGUAUGAUGCUAGUUGCGCACGCUGAGGCCAGUAACUAGAUGUUAGUACGAUAUGGUGAUAUACGUGUGCUACGAGGCAUGGUGGUUUUAAAUGUUUUGUUUGUUACUUUCGCAUCGUGCGGUGCAUGCUGGGGGCUGGUUAUGGGCUUUGGGUUGCCUGCUUGGCCGGUUGGGUAAGGGUAGGUUGCUACUAGUUGGGACAGCUUUCAGGAAAUGUCGACCCGGGGAUGUUCAUGAGUGGUGAAUGGGUAAGUACCGUGUUGAAUGGUUUGUUACGUGUGGAUGGCUGUUUGCUUGCGCACCAACGUCCACGCUGCAUACCUCUUCAGUUUUGCGGCAAGACUCGAUUUGUCUUGAGCAAAUUGUGGGUUUCCUGUGUUGCAUACCUAAUUGAUGGUAACGUGUGGGUUUUGCGAUUUUCCUUUUCGUCAUGCGUCGUUUAUGCGGCGUGGGAUGCACAAUGAAGCGGUCUUUGUGAUCCACCGUGUUGUUGCGUUUGCGACAAUGAGGUGGCCUAUGAAGCAUCGUUUGGUCUCUUGUAUACGGAACCUGAUGUGGGCUUGGAUCUUUAUAAGAUCCAUAUUUUGCCCUUCUUAAGCGUUCUCGCUUCUCCAAAACGAUUGCCUGCCGUGUUUCGGCUUGUCCUUGCAUGGUGGGCUACGUCGAAGAGGAAUGCUACCUGGUUGAUCCUGCCAGUAGUCA